AAGCAACACUCUGUGGCAGGCGAACAUAACUGUCUGACACAAUUUGAGCUUGCGAUAGCAAGAGAGCCUAACCUAUUCCGGUGUUCUCUUCCUCAUGAGACAAGCCGUUAUAUAGGCUCAAACAAU
ensembl:snoRNA small nucleolar RNA SNORA28